rnacentral:rRNA from 1 species
AUUGAACGCUGGCGGCAGGCCUAACACAUGCAAGUCGAGCGGAGCGGCGGACGGGUGAGUAAUGCCUAGGAAUCUGCCUGGUAGUGGGGGAUAACGUCCGGAAACGGGCGCUAAUACCGCAUACUAUCAGAUGAGCCUAGGUCGGAUGAGCUAGUUGGUGGGGUAAAGGCAGACCAAGGCGACGAGCCGUAGCUGGUCUGAGAGGAUGAUCAGUCACACUGGAACUUGGACACGGUCCAGACUCCUACGGGAGGCAGCAGUGGGUAAUAUUGGACAAUGGGCGCAAGCCUGAUGCAGCCAUGCCGCGUGUAUGAAGAAGGCCUUAGGGUUGUAAAGUACUUUCAGCGGGGAGGCGUUACCCGCAGAAGAAGCACCGGCUAACUCCGUGCCAGCAGCCGCGGUAAUUC